rnacentral:snRNA from 1 species
AUGCCUUCUGGCAGGGGAGACACCCUGAUCAAGAAAGUUUUCCCAGAGUGAGGCUUCUGCAUUGCGUUGAGGAUUAGCUGACCUCUGCAACUCCCCCCACAGCAUAAUUUGUUGUAGUGGAGGACUGUUGAUGCUCCCCUGUU